CCAUAACAAAUAUAGUUCCAUAGCAUCCAUUCAUUAUUCACAUACAAUUUUUUGAGCUACAAUAUUAUUUUGUUUGCAUUAAUAUGUUACCAUUAUUAUUUUAGAUGACAAAAAAGACAACUAUGGCUCCAAAGGUUUGCUUUAUAUCUUCACGCCACAUAAGUAAACCAAGUAGAAGGGGCGCACGUUUAGGAGCUGCAGCGCGCGGUCCUUUUGAACUUCCCCUCACAAAAGAAGCAUGAAUCAAAAGCGUUAGAGAAAGAAAACAGAUGAUUCAGAAUUACAAAUUUUGAUACAUAUUGACUUCUAACAUAACAACACCAGCAAUGUUUGUUACAAAAUUUAGGAGGUAUCAAGAUACUUAAAUUGUCAACUAGUGACGACUACACACACACAGAGAUAUAUACACAUAAGCUCCAAAGAAUACAACUAAGAUUUUCAAGAGAACAUUCACAUACAAGAAUAAGCACAUGAUGUUUGGUUCCAAAUUAUAAAUAUAAGCUGCCGAUGUUGCGCUGAAUCCAAAGUAAUCCCAGCUACAUAGGUCACACGCUCGCUCUAAUGAGAUGUGAUACCAAAU
rnacentral:lncRNA from 1 species